CAUGCAAGUCGAACGGAAAGGCCCUUCGGGGUACUCGAGUGGCGAACGGGUGAGUAACACGUGGGUGAUCUGCCCUGCACUUUGGGAUAAGCCUGGGAAACUGGGUCUAAUACCGGAUAGGACUACGCGAUGCAUGUCGUGUGGUGGAAAGCUUUUGCGGUGUGGGAUGGGCCCGCGGCCUAUCAGCUUGUUGGUGAGGUUAUGGCUUACCAAGGCGACGACGGGUAGCCGGCCUGAGAGGGUGACCGGCCACACUGGGACUGAGAUACGGCCCAGACUCCUACGGGAGGCAGCAGUGGGGAAUAUUGCACAAUGGGCGCAAGCCUGAUGCAGCGACGCCGCGUGAGGGAUGACGGCCUUCGGGUUGUAAACCUCUUUCAGCAGGGACGAAGCGCAAGUGACGGUACCUGUAGAAGAAGGACCGGCCAACUACGUGCCAGCAGCCGCGGUAAUACGUAGGGUCCGAGCGUUGUCCGGAAUUACUGGGCGUAAAGAGCUCGUAGGUGGUUUGUCGCGUUGUUCGUGAAAACUCACA
rnacentral:rRNA from 1 species